CUGGGCCUAAGAUGAACGAAGUGACAUCCUAACCCUUCCCUUUGCCCGAUGUCUGCCCCAACAAUUCUUUAUUUUAAAUUGAUUAUUUAAGGAAUAAUGUUUUAUUACAGUGAAUUUAUACAACAUUUUAUCUGGGUAUUUCAGUAUAUUUUGAAAUUGUAAUCCUGACAUGAGGAUGGAUAAUUUUCAACUGAAAAAUCUCUGCUAUGGCCUUAAAUCUCCCCAUUUUGCUUGUUCAUUCUCCGCGAGAGAACUGCAAUUUUUAACAAUAAUCAAGCACAUGAAGGAUUUGAUUCUUUGGAUUUAAUGGCAUCAGUUCACCAUUAAGAUUAUCCGG